rnacentral:rRNA from 1 species
UACGUAGGGGGCCAGCGUUGUCCGGAAUCAUUGGGCGUAAAGCGCGCGUAGGCGGUCAGGUAAGUCCGGUGUGAAAGUCAAAGGCUCAACCUUUGAAUGCCGCUGGAAACUGCCUGACUUGAGUCCGGGAGGGGCGAGUGGAAUUCCUGGUGUAGCGGUGAAAUGCGCAGAUAUCAGGAGGAACACCAAUGGCGAAGGCAGCUCGCUGGGACGUUACUGACGCUGAGACGCGAAAGCGUGGGGAGCAAACAGG